UACUUUUGGGGGAGGGAAUAUAUCGACACCUGUCAAUUUCUUAUAAAUGCUGUUGAUUCUUUUACACGGUGUAUAAGUGUUUUUUCUAUAUUCAUUUUUUGACUGAUUGACAAAUAUUUUCCCCUAAUUUGUGACUUUGCUUAUGACAUUUUUUUGGGGGGGGGCAAUGGUCAACAUGUUUAAGUAGGUGGUUCCUCUGAUACUUCUUUUAUACAAUAGUUAGGAAGGGUUAUGUAGAAUAACCCUGAGUAGUCAAAUACAGCAGGAGAUUAUUGGCAACUUACCAGACUCUUCUGGAACGUUGGAACCUACUGGCCACCCAACCACGGAUGACGGUUGGAGCCUUUCAGUUUGGUGUGGGUCACACGACUAGGUUCUAACCAGCGGGAUGCAUAUAAAAGUCACAGGUGCCACUUUUGAAUCAUGUCUGUCCCCAUGUCACUAUUUAAGGGAGAACAAGGCUGGAGCUGCCCCUUAGCUCUACGGAUGGAAUCAUAUGCUGCAGGUGGUGGAGCUACAACAUUUACCCCAAGUUCUGACACAGCUUCUCCACUGCUUUGUCUAAGCCCUUGACUCUUUGGGACUGUUUAGCAUAUGACUUGUGCUGCUUGGGGUUUUUUUUUGUCAUCUUGACACAAGCUCGGUCAUCCAGGAAGAGAGAAACCUCAAUUGAGAAAAGGCCUCCAUUACAUCGACUGUUAGGCAGGCCUAAGGGGGCAUUUUCCUGAUUAGUGAUUGGUGGGCAGUGCCACUCCUGGGCUGGGGUGUAUAAAGAUGCUGGCAGAGCAAGCUAUGCAGAGCAAGCAGGUAGGCAGUGUUACUCCAUGGCCUCUGCUUUCGUUCCUGCCUCUACUUCCUGCCUUGACUUCUCUUCACGGCGUGACCUGUGCGAUGAAAUGAACUUGUCCCUCCUCAGGUUGCUUUGGCCAUAAUGUUUAUCACAGCAGUGGGAAGUAAACUAAGACAUGUCCUAACAAAUAUAUCAGACCCUUAUAAUACAAGAAAGGGUUUAUCUGAGGUACGUCCUGGCGUAAUUGGCACUUAAUUGUUUCUGUUUGUCUUACUAGAGUUUGAGCUUAUUUGAUUUGUAGGUGGGUUUUACCUUAAGUUGGUUAUAUGUUUUGUUUUUCUUAAACUCCAAGGACUAGCACAUUUAAGCAUCGUGAUUAGAAGUAUAUUCAGACAGGGUUUCAGUGAAUGAGUGGCAGUCAAAGCAGCACGGUGAAGGUGGAUGCUUUGUUUUCUCAGCUGAUCCCUACAUUCCCAGACAAUCAAGUACUAACUCAGACUUGCCUGAGGUCUCACGGUUGGUACGUUUCAGCAUGCGUGGGGCUCAAAGUCAGGUUGGUGUAAGCAUUCACUGUGCCAAACUUCCUCUGCAGAAGCCUCUGCUCAAUUACCAUUGCUCCAAACACAACCAUUUCCAUAAAGUCUUACAAGUUGUAGUAUAAUUUCUGUACAUAUUCAUUUAUUAUAUUCUAACGGAGUGUAUCAAGCAAUAUAAAAAAGGCUGGGACAUGGCUACCCCCAGCAUACUGCUAUCAAUUCAUUCAAAACAUGGGAUGGCAAUGUAAGAAUAUAGCUUUCUAUCUGACACAGAAAGAUGCAGGUUGGAGUGGAAAAGACCAAAGGGACUCACAUUUCUCAUUCUAAGUCUUUAUCUUUGCUCACACAUACAUGAACUCUGGUAACUUAAAAUACAUAUAAAGCUGGGCAUGGUGGCAUGCCUGUAAUUCCAAUACUUAGGAGAUGGAGGCAAGGAAGAUCAUGAGUGACACACGUCCAGGCCAUUGAGUUCAAGGCCAGCCUUAGGUAUCUAGUGAGCUCUUGCUUCUGAAAAAAUCAGAACAAAAAACUGUACAAAAUGUAAAACACACCAUUGGGUCUUCAUUUAUAUUCAUUUAUAAAGGCAAAGUGGUGACAUAGCCUUGGCUAGCUUUAAAUUUGCUAUACUGUUGUUCAGGCUAGCCUUGAACUUGGGAUCUUCCUGUCUCUGCAUUUCCAGUUGCCAUGAUUACAGGCUUGCCACUAUCAUGAAGUUUCUAUUUUAAAGCUGAUAAUUAAUUCACUAAUAGCAGUGAUUAAUGGAUUGCUAUUUUUAAAUAAAAA
rnacentral:lncRNA from 1 species